rnacentral:rRNA from 1 species
UACGUAGGGCGCAAGCGUUGUCCGGAAUUAUUGGGCGUAAAGAGCUCGUAGGCGGUCUGUCGCGUCGGUUGUGAAAACACAAGGCUCAACCUUGUGCCUGCAAUCGAUACGGGCAGACUAGAGUACUGCAGGGGAGACUGGAAUUCCUGGUGUAGCGGUGGAAUGCGCAGAUAUCAGGAGGAACACCGGUGGCGAAGGCGGGUCUCUGGGCCGUAA